rnacentral:rRNA from 1 species
GACGAACGCUGGCGGCGUGCUUAACACAUGCAAGUCGAACGCUGAAGCUCAGCUUUUGUUGGGUGGAUGAGUGGCGAACGGGUGAGUAACACGUGAGUAACCUGCCUCCUUCUUUGGGAUAACGCCCGGAAACGGGUGCUAAUACUGGAUAUUCACUGGUCUUCGCAUGGGGGUUGGUGGAAAGGGUUUUUCUGGUGGGGGAUGGGCUCGCGGCCUAUCAGCUUGUUGGUGGGGUGAUGGCCUACCAAGGCUUUGACGGGUAGCCGGCCUGAGAGGGUGACCGGUCACAUUGGGACUGAGAUACGUCCCAGACUCCUACGGGAGGCAGCAGUGGGGAAUAUUGCACAAUGGGCGCAAGCCUGAUGCAGCGACGCCGCGUGAGGGAUGGAGGCCUUCGGGUUGUGAACCUCUUUCGCUCAUGGUCAAGCCGCAACAAUGGUUGUGGUGAGGGUAGUGGGUAAAGAAGCGCCGGCUAACUACGUG